UUAUAAGACCAAACUUAACCAUUAUAAUACAUCCAUGGGCUGGACACAUAUGCUCACUUCCUCAUUGAACAUUUCUGUAUCAGGCCUCAAGCCCCGCCCACCACCGCUGCUCGCGCCAGGUUGACCGAGAGACGCCAGCGACAGAGCAACUCUUACCAAAAUGGUUAGCAUCUUAGGAAACAUCGGAGAGACUCAGCCACACAUGUCUGAGCCUCAGUCAGACCCAGACACAGAUGAGGAGUUUGUUGUGCACCGAAAUCGGCUACUAGCAGACGACCAGACUUUGUCAACAGAAAGGUUGGACCUAACCUGCAGAAUCCACAGAAACCACAUCCACUCCAUGAUGGAUAUUAAAACAAUACUUUAAAAGGAGAACCAUGGGCCAGUGAUGCACUCGAUACCCACCACCCCCACAUCCCACUCUCUCUCUCUCUCUCUCUCGCUCUCUCUCUCUCUCUCUCUCUCUCUCUCUCUCUAUGGGGAAGGUAUGGGUCUCUCUCAGCUCUCUGCUGGCCUUCAGGUCUCAGUUGGCCACUCAUGAUGGUCAGUCCACCUACGCCUCUGAGUGUUGUUGCCAGAGGCAGAAAUGCGAAGGCAACAAUAAUCAUAAUCAGGAUACAGAGGAGAGGGAGCCACCAACGGUAUUUCUUUAGCAAAUUUUACAUACCCCCCCACACUUACACACAUACACACACCAGCCCCUGAAUUUGACACAUGAUUGAUUAGAAUAAACAUUUUGCAAAAGCUGUU